CCUGCCCACUGAUUAAUUUAAAUGGCCGCAGUAAUUUGACUGUGCAAAGGUAGCAUAAUCAUUAGUUUUUUAAUUAAAAGCUUGUAUGAAGGGUUGGACGAGAUAAAAUCUGUCUCUAUUUAAUUUAUAUUAGAAUUUAAUUUUUAAGUUAAAAAGCUUAAAUUAUUAUAAAAGACGAGAAGACCCUAUAGAUCUUUAUAUUAUUAAAUUUAAAUUUAAUUUGGAAUAUUUUAUUUUUUAUUUUAAAUAAUAUUUUAUUGGGGUAAUAAAAAGAUUAAAUUAAUUCUUUUUGAUUUAGAAUAUUGAUUAAUAAUUUAAUGAUCCAAUAAUUUUGAUUAUAAGAUUAAGUUACCUUAGGGAUAACAGCGUAAUUUUUUUAGAGAGUUCAUAUCGAUAAAAAAGUUUGCGACCUCGAUGUUGGAUUAAAAAUUGUUC
rnacentral:rRNA from 1 species